CUGGGAGGGGCUCAGAUUCAUCAGGGCCUCAGCAGGACUAUCAACCUCAGAUCAUGCCCUCAUGCACAGUAGUGCCUGUGUGAAGCUGUGUGUGAGGUAACCAGCCCUGCUGCAGUAGAACUGACCCCAUCUACAACGCAGCCAAUGCACGGCCAGAGUGGGCUCCCCAUGUGCAGCUGAUAGCAGGUAGAUCACCCGUGUGGGUGCUCUAGGAGGCCGAGCAGUGUCACAAGCUGCUAACUGUUGUGCUUGGAUCCAGCGUGCUGCAUGGGAAAGUAAGAGUUACAGUGGUGACAUUCAUUGAUGCUUGCUGAACAUUUAUGGAGACCAAAUAGUGGAUGUAAGUAGAGUGAGGCUGGGGGUGGUACGUUUCAGUAAUGGCGACAGUGAUGUGAAAGACAAGCCAUGUUCCGGAUGGCCAUGCACAGCUGUCACACCACAAAAUGAAGAGCAUCUUGAUCAGCUCAUCCGUGCUAAUCAGUGGAUUACAACCAGGGAACUGUGUACAGAACUGAAUAUUGGCUUCAAUGUGUUGGAAAUGAUGAUGGCAACAUUGGAAUAUCACAAAGUUUGCGCCAGUUGGCUCCCAUGAAUGCUCACAGGAACAGAAAGAACAUGUAUGCAAGUUUGUCAAGAUCUAUUGAACCAAUACGAGCUGAAGGGGACAGUUUCGUGGUUCACAUCAUUACCAGUGACAAGAUGUGGUGUUUCCACUGUGAGCCACAAUCAAAACCACAAUCCAUAGAACAGCAACAUCUGAAUUCCCCAUUGAAGAAAAAAUUCAAGAUGCAGCCCAAAGAGGGUAAAGUGAUGUGAACUAUCUUUUGGGAUAGGAAAGAGGUGAUCCUUCUGGAUUUCCUGGAUCCUGAAUAAACCAUCAGCUCUGAUCAGUACAUUGCAAUACUUACUAAGCUGAAGGCUCAAACUCCCAGAAUAAGGCCAGAGAAGAAGAUGACCUCUCUCUUGCAACAUGAUAACAUCAGGCCCCAUACCAGUCUGAAGACAGUGAAACACACUGCCAAUCUUGGCUGGGCUGUCCUGCCACACCCACCGUGUAGUCCAGAUUUGGGGCCUUCUGACAUCUGCCUGUUUGGGCCAAUAAAAGACAGAUUGCAUGGGCAAUAUUUUCCUAGCAAUGAUGCCAUCACAGUAGCUGUGAAACAGCAGUCACCUCUGCUAGCACAGAUUGUUACGAG
rnacentral:lncRNA from 1 species